rnacentral:rRNA from 1 species
UACGGGGGGGGGCAAGCGUUGUUCGGAAUUACUGGGCGUAAAGGGCUCGUAGGCGGCCAACUAAGUCAGACGUGAAAUCCCUCGGCUUAACCGGGGAGCGCGUCUGAUACUGGAUGGCUUGAGUUCGGGAGAGGGAUGCGGAAUUCCAGGUGUAGCGGUGAAAUGCGUAGAUAUCGGGAGGAGCACCAGUGGCGAAGGCGACUUCCUGGCCUGUUCUUGACGCUGAGGCGCGAAAGCUAGGGGAGCAAACGGG